rnacentral:rRNA from 1 species
AGCGAACGCUGGCGGCAGGCUUAACACAUGCAAGUCGAGCGGGCCCUUCGGGGUCAGCGGCGGACGGGUGAGUAACGCGUGGGAACGUGCCUUCUGGUCUGGAAUAACCCUGGGAAACUAGGGCUAAUACCGGAUACGCCCUUUUGGGGCAAGGUCUGCUGCCGGAGGAUCGGCCCGGGUCUGAUUCGCUUGUUGGGGGGGUAAGGGCCUACCACGGCGACGAUCAGUAGCUGGGCAGAGAGGAUGAGCAGCGACACUGGGACUGAGACGCGGCCCAGACUCCUACGGGAAGCGGGAGAGGGGGAUAUUGGAAAAUGGGGGGAAUCCUGAUCCACCCAGGCCGCGUGAGUGAUGAAGGUCUGAGGGUUGUAAAGCUCUUUUAUCCGGGACGAUAAUGACGGUACCGGAAGAAUAAGCCCCGGCUAACUUCGUG